rnacentral:rRNA from 1 species
UAGAGUGUGGGAGAGGAAGGUAGAAUUUCCAGGUGUAGCGGUGAAAUGCGUAGAGAUYUGGAGGAAUACCGAUGGCGAAGGCAGCUUCUGGCCUAACACUGACGCUGAGGUGCGAAAGCAUGGGGAGCAAACAGGAUUAGAUACCCUGGUAGUCCAUGCCGUAAACGAUGUCAACUAGCCGUUGGGCUCCUUGAGGGCUUAGUGGCGCAGCUAACGCGAUAAGUUGACCGCCUGGGGAGUACGGUCGCAAGACUAAAACUCAAAUGAAUUGACGGGGGCCCGCACAAGCGGUGGAGCAUGUGGUUUAAUUCGAUGCAACGCGAAGAACCUUACCUGGCCCUGACAUGUCUGGAAUCCUGCAGAGAUGCGGGAGUGCCUUCGGGAAUCAGAACACAGGUGCUGCAUGGCUGUCGUCAGCUCGUGUCGUGAGAUGUUGGGUUAAGUCCCGCAACGAGCGCAACCCUUUUCUUUACUUGCCAGCACUUCGGGUGGGAACUUUAAAGAUACUGCCGGUGACAAACCGGAGGAAGGCGGGGACGACGUCAAGUCAUCAUGGCCCUUACGGCCAGGGCUACACACGUGCUACAAUGGUCGGUACAAAGGGUUGCUAACCCGCGAGGGCAUGCUAAUCUCAAAAAGCCGAUCGUAGUCCAGAUUGGAGUCUGCAACUCGACUCCAUGAAGUCGGAAUCGCUAGUAAUCGCGGAUCAGAAUGCCGCGGUGAAUACGUUCCCGGGCCUUGUACACACCGCCCGUCACACCAUGGGAGUUUGUUGCACCAGAAGUAGUUAGCCUAACCGCAAGGAGGGCGAUUACCACGGUGUGGCCAAUGACUGGGGUGAAGUMGUAACAAGGUAAC